rnacentral:lncRNA from 1 species
UAAUCUUCCUCAAACAUUAAAAUAUAUAUAUAAAUAAAUAAAAAGACAAGAAACAAGUGUGGCAGAGGGUGUAGAUAAAAGGGAACUCUCAUAUACUGCUGGUGGGAAUGCAAACUGGUGUAGCCACUAUGAAAAUCAGUAUGAUUAAAAAUAGAAAUACCAUAUGAUUCAGCUAUCCCACUACUAGGUAUUUAUCCAAGGAACAUGAAAACACAAAUUCAAAAAGAUAAAUGCACCCUUAUGUUCAUUGCAAUAUUAUUCACAAUAGCCAAGACUCACAGUCAACCUAAGGCCCAUCAACGGAUGAAUGGAUAAAAAAGGUGUGGUAUAUAUAGACAAUGGAAUACUAGUCAACCAUAAAAAGUGAUGAAAUUGUGCUAUUUGUGACAUGGAUGGACCUUAAAGGUAUUAUGCUAAGCAAAAUAAGCCAGACAGGGAAAGACAAAUACCAUAUGAUUUCACUCAUAUGUGGAAGAUAAACAAACACAUAGAUAUGGAGAGCAGACUGGUGGUUACCAGAGGGGAAGGGGUUCGGGGUAGGGCAAAUGGGGUAAAGGGGCACAUAUGUAUGGUGAUGGAUGGAAACUAGAUUUUUGGUGGUGAACACAACGCAGUCUAUACAGAAACAGAAAUAUAGUGAUGUACACUUGAAAUUUACACAAUGUUAUAAACCAAUGUGACCUUGAUAAAAAAGAAAACUGUUGCAGUAUUUGAUUUGUAAGUAUGUUACUUUGAUUAAAUUAAAAUUUUAGACAGGAGGAAAAAUAAAAUUUACGAAGUAGGACCUUGUGCUUUGGCCAUAAUGGAGUAACAGUGACCAACUUUAAUUUACUCUCUUGCCUUAAACAACUAAAAAACAACACGAAAAUAAGUACAUACUGUAUUUUUCAAUUUGUAUAAAUUUCUAGAAAACUCUUAGCAAUCUAUAGUGACUGUAGAUCAGUAGUUGCCUAGGGAUAGGAGUGGAGGGAGGAUGGAAUACAAACAGACUUGAGAAAACUUAGGGGAAUGCAAAUAUUGGUGAUCUUAAUUGUGGUGAUGAUUUCACAGAUGUAUAUACACACAUCAAAACUCAUCAAAGUGUAUACUAUAAAUUAUUGCAUUUAUGUUAAUUAUACCUAAGUAAAGUUAUUUUUAAGAUGCAAUAGGUAGAAAAGUAAAAAAAGAAAACCCAGCAUAAUGGAAUCUCAGGAUUCAAGUAAGAAAAGGGUGUGAAGAUUAAGGAGAAAUUCAAAUCAUCCAACAAGUAUUAACUAUAAUGUACAUAGGUCUAUGUUCUGAAGUGUUCUCAAUCAUUAAGUCUUCUAACGAAAUCUUGCUUAUUUCCUGCAAAUUACUUAAAUCAGUUUAUAAUUAUAGAUUUAUUAAAAAAUGUGAUUAAUAUCUGCCACCUACCACUAAUCUGGAGUGUCUAUGAGGAGAGCAUUUUUACCUUCUUUUUCUCACUGUCAUUUCCAUUGUGCUAAUUUCCAUUGUGUCAUUUCCAGUGCUAAUCCAUUGGCUGCCAACUUUCAGGUCUUUAAUAAAUAUUCUCUGAAAGAAUACUAGCCUUAGGUUCUUGAAGACGUAUAGGACACAGUCCCUGACCUCAAGAAACUCAAUCUUAGUUGUCAAGUUUUAUUAAAGCCACAAUUAGUAGCAAGAAUAAUGAGGUCUAAAAACGGCAUUUGAAUUUGUUAAUAAGUUAGAAUUUCAUGGGCCUAAAAAUGAACUGUGAUAUGACACAAAGAUAAUCAGAUAUCCCUCAAAUAUUCUGCCAUACGGCUGCCACUGGAUUGAAAUUAAGACUGUCUUACCUUGUGCAAAACCUAAAAGCUUUCCCAUGGCUGUUAUAACACCUUGAUAGUUUGACAUGGCUGCUGCUUUAGGAACAGACAACCACAGGUUUUACGGUUGUUUUACGUACUGCUAAAACAGUUUACUGUUUUACGGUACUGCUGUUUUACGGUACUGACAAGAUGUUCCUACAAAUGUAAUUAUUGAAAUGGUAUUGUAAAAAUAAAGAAUAAGUAGAAAGAAAAGCUUGUCCUGUAUGGUGUUAGUCCUAUUACCCCUUGUAGUCAGCAUAGAUCAUUGCUCUAUGAGUAGUCAACUUCUCCACAAGCACAGGAACACAGUGUUCAUGAAGCUUACUUCAUCAUAGAAUCUUCACCAAAAUCCUCUCUUUGGAAGUACAUCUUCCUGUCAAAUUUUGCAUCCUUCUGGCACUUCAGCUCAUUUUCUAUUUUUUACUAUUUUCCAAUAUUUCUGGAUGUGUCUGUCAGGAUAGAUUAAGUUAUGCUGCAGUAACAAAUAUCCCCACCCCAGAGUUUAAUGGCAUGAAACAACAAAGAUUGAUUUCUUACAUAAUUUAUCCAUAAUAGGUUGGAUAUGGGGUUCUGAUCCUCUGUAUCACAUUAAUAUCCUUCUCACUCAGGGACCAGGCUGAUGGCACACUCACCAUCUUGAGCACUAUUGCUACCAGGACAGAGAGAAAGAUUAAAGCAAAAUUUGUAUUGUUUAAAAGCUUCUACAUUGAAGUGGCAUACAUUGCUUCCUCCCACACCCCAUUGGCCGAUCAUAUGACCAUUCCUGAGCUCCACAGGGUAGGGUUAUAGAAACCUUUCACACAGAAGCCCUGAAUAUUAAACAGAAACAGAGCUUAGCACACUGAAGUUUUACCAUAAUCAGAUUCAGUUUACUGUACUGAGCAAGGAUUACAGCAGGGCUGCUUUACUCUUUCAGGGCAGUUGCCUGAUCCUUGUAAACCCUCCCCUGCAGUCUCCUUCCUUUCUUCUAGCAAG